rnacentral:tRNA from 1 species
GGAGAGGUGCUAGAGUGGUUGAAUAGGGCGGUCUCGAAAACCGUUGUGCGUUAUGCGUACCGGGGGUUCGAAUCCCUCCCUCUCCGCCA